ensembl:lncRNA
UGAACACAAAAUGAAGGUGGGGACGCCAAGCUCCAUCCUGCUCUUAGCUACCCACUGGGCACCUCCACGUCCUGCUGUCUCACUCUGGACAUCAGCGUGCGUGAACGAGGUAUUGGCACUCUGAAAGCCUGGCCUCUCAUUAGUCACUCCCACCUCUCAUGCAGCAGGAGGCAGCAGGAUUUCUCACACACAGCAAUCAUUUCUUUCUCUGGUAAAGACAGUAAUCUUGGGAAAAGAAGGGCAAUUAUCUUAGCAGAAUUACCAACCUUGCAGGGUGACAUUAUCAACUGUUGGAAAUUACAUGGUAUUCAUUUGCUGCUAUUUUAAUGUUUGUCGUCUUCUACUUCCCCCCUUCCCCAGCCCAGUGCUGAAUCCCCUACCUUCCCACCUCCUUCUUUCUUUUGAUUAAUCCUGGGAAAUAACUUCCUUAUUUUUAGCAGGCUGAUGCUCCUAGCAGGGAUUUGAUAUUGAGGAUCAUAAUAAGGACUUCCACACUUUCAGCUGGGGCUCAGCCACCACCCUUUGGAUUUUCCAAUGGUGCUUCAGCACGUCUGUGGCUGCCAACAAGGAAAUGCCCACUGGACACCUGAUGGCUGGAUUCAAAGCUGCCUGGCUGCUCUUCCCUCCUUCAGGAAGCCACGGCUGGAUUCUCACUCUGCAUGUCUAUUACUUACCUUAUUUGGUGAUGAGUGCCUGGUAGCCCGGAAGAGUUCCCAGGCCUUUUCCUGUUAUCCCCGAGAAGUCUCCAACGGGUGCGAGGUCCAGCAUCUCAUCUCGACCCAGAGGCAGAGAUUGACACGUGGGAGGCUGGGGCAGCCUGGUAACUUCUCAGCCUACACAGCGCCACCUGCUGGCUCCCUUCUCCUGCGCAGCCAGGAAGCAGGAGGCAGAGUGGAAGGGGAAGUCCUCAGGCACACGCUGUCUCUGGAUGUGAAGUCAGCUCUGCAGAACGUCCUGGCCGUUCGACCUUGAGGAAGCUGCGGUUCAGCUCCAGACUGUGUAACCACCUUGUGAGAAGACCUGUUCACCCUGACCCAGUCUGAGGAGGCACAGCCUGGAGAGGGGGAGAAAAGGCCAAAGCCCCCACCCCACUCUAAUUCUGUGUUGAUUCUGGUCAAGGCCCUUCAUUAAUGAAAGGCAUUAGUUUUGUUUCUCAAAGAAAAACAAUUUUAGAUACUAAGGUCGUGUGCAACCUUGGCUGAGGGUUGCUGUCGUUCUACUACUGACAGAGCAUUGCUGCAGAUGGAUUAUCACUGCUGUCAAACCUCCCAACAGGCUCUUUCUUUGGACAGCUUUCAUCAGACCUCUGAACCUUCUCCUACACCCAUUUGUGCAAGACCUUGUCAAGUCGGACUUUUUUCGGUGCAGGGGAUCAAACUCAGGACCUUCCACUUGUAAGGCAGGCACGGUGCCACUGAGCUAAAUCCCGGCCCUUCAAGUCUGAUUUUAGCAAAGAGCUCACGCCCUCAGCAUCCCUCACCCUGGUGUCUGGGGAGGCCCCUCAUCCUGUGCCAGAAGACAUCAGGUUUCCCUGUCCUGAAUGCACCCAUGAUUCUUCAGGUCAGCACAGCCCGGGUCCUGGCCCUUGCGCUUCUCCGUCAUUUUCCACCCACUGACCUCACCCUGCCUGGGCGAAGACUCCCGCUUGGCCACGCUGCAGGUGACGUGAACCCUAAUCUCAGUGCUCCCUGCAAGAUCAUACUGAGUGGUCCCGACACCCCAAUACCUGGAUGGUCCUGGACAAAGUCCUUCUUGCCACAGUUUCACAAGUGUCACUGAAUGUUUUUUUCUGUAACAUCCCCAAGAUUUUUACUCUAAGAAGCCUUUCCUGUAACCCUAAAUGCAUCCCUGGUCUGCAUAAAGUUAGUUUUCGGGUGGGGGUGACUUUUUCAAUGUCCAGCUUCUCGGUGGCCCUGAAGAAGAGGCCUCAGACCUACGCUGGACGAAUGCUGAGGUGCAGAUGUCUGGAGAGUGCAUUUCGCCCCAAGGACUACAGUUACCACAGCAAGAAGCCUGGGCCCCGUGGAGGUGGCCAGAAGCCCUGAGCACCCUGACUCUGGGAUUACGUCUUUGCUCAGAGUCCUGUUUCGCUCCCACACCCAGAUGAGACUGGCUGUCUCAACUUUCCAUGGCACAGCGACGUAGCUGAAGAUGUGACUAAAAGCAUUUGCGUUCUGUGGGCCUCUUGAAGGCAAUCAGGGUGGAUUUGGUUUGUCCGGGUCUCCAACACCAACUUCAGUGCCCAGAAAGCAAUGCAUCUUUGGUGUUUGUGGAGUGAAUGAAAGGUUAGCACAAGGGUUAGCUAUGCCGUUUUGUCAACAGCAAAGACCUUCAAGCAGUACUUCAAACCAAUGCUUUCAUAAUUCUCACAAACUAGCUCACAGAUCUAGAGUGUGUCACAUUAUAAUAUUAAAUAUAACAUUAAAAUAUUGCAUUUUAUGAUUAAACAAAAUAGGCAUUGUAAAUACCAGGAAAAAUGCAAAGAAAAUUAAAAAAUCUGUAAUCACACCAUCCAGACAGCCAUUGUUACCUUUUUGUGAUUACGUUUUUAUUUAUAAUUAUUUUAAAAUUGGAAU